rnacentral:rRNA from 1 species
GAUGAACGCUAGCUACAGGCUUAACACAUGCAAGUCGAGGGGCAGCGGGAUUGAAGCUUGCUUCAAUUGCCGGCGACCGGCGCACGGGUGAGUAACGCGUAUCCAACCUUCCGUACACUCAGGGAUAGCCUUUCGAAAGAAAGAUUAAUACCUGAUGGUAUGAUGAGAUUGCAUGAUAGCAUCAUUAAAGAUUUAUCGGUGUACGAUGGGGAUGCGUUCCAUUAGGUAGUAGGCGGGGUAACGGCCCACCUAGUCUUCGAUGGAUAGGGGUUCUGAGAGGAAGGUCCCCCACAUUGGUACUGAGACACGGACCAAACUCCUACGGGAGGCAGCAGUGAGGAAUAUUGGUCAAUGGCCGAGAGGCUGAACCAGCCAAGUCGCGUGAAGGAAGAAGGAUCUAUGGUUUGUAAACUUCUUUUAUAGGGGAAUAAAGUGGAGGACGUGUCCUUUUUUGUAUGUACCCUAUGAAUAAGCAUCGGCUAACUCCGUGCCAGCAGCCG